GUUCAGCCAAGCGCUUUCAAAACUUACCUUCUCUGGUGAUUUCCACACCGUUUUGGGGACACCAUCACCCGUCUUGUCUAGAGCACUUUGAAAUAUUGACAGUCAUGUGUACCUCAUUCUCCUGAGAGGGCUUGGAGUCCUGAAAGGGACUUGGAAUUUGAUGCCUCAGAUGUGCCCAAGCACAGCUUUGUGGGUUUACUCCAAGCGGCUGCUGAGCUCCACUUGGGCCAUGAUGGGGUGGCGAUGUGGACAAACCAGGAUGCCUGCGGGCCUGAUAGGGACUCAGGAGGAGUUCCUGGGGACGAAGAAUGUCUCAGAAGGAAGAGUAUGAGAGUUUGAGAGACUGGGCUGGGGAGAAGACUGAGGAACAAAGAUGGAGCAGAAGGCAGAACAGAAAGCAGAGAGAACAGAGUCGUGAGCCCCAUGUGCCGUCAUCCAGCUUCAAAGUAGAGAUGAGUAUUAACUCUUCGAGGUCAGUGCAACCUAAAGUCACCAGGAGAAAAGCCAGUAAGUUUGGUUGGGAGGGGGCAGCAGUAAAUGCAGUUAAGUGUGUAUGCUCAGUGUGCUAGCCCAUGUGCAUUUUGAUUCUGGAAGGGGAAGAGAGAGAGUGAGAGAUGGUGUCUGGGGUAUCCCUUCCAUCUGUCCAUCUAGAGGCUCUGUCUGCUGCUCUCCAUGCUCCUCCAUGUGUCCUAGAAGGAUGCCCUCUCCCACCAGCUCCCAGGCCCUCAGCUUCCUGUUGGGUUCCCUGAUGGGAGAUCAGUGGGCAGGAUGCCCUCAAGACACAAGCAGGCUAAAAGGAGAUGAGAGAGGGAUGAUGCAACGUGGCAUCUCCAGGCAAUACGGGUGGUCAUGGGGAAAACCCUCAGGACUGUGAGCAUACAGAGGAGUAUCCCCAACUCAGUGUGGAGGGAAUAUGGAUGGCUUCCUGGAGGUGGUGACAUCUCAGCUGAGCCCUGAAGGAUAUAAAGAGUUCAGGCAGGCAAAGAGGGGAAGAAGGAUCCAGGCAGAAAGAAUUACUCAUGUAAAGGCAGAAAGGUCUGGAAUGCCCUUCCUCCAUGUCCCUGCUUAUUCCAGCCCUCUGCAGGCAGCUCCAGGUGACCCAGGGUUGCUGCAUGGGGCCAAAGUAUGACUUGGGAAUUUGGUUCCCAUUCCUGCUGCAAACAGAGCCAAGCUUGGGUGUCCUGAGGAGGACUGCCCACAGUCCCCCAAGUUCUGUGCCUCCUGUAGCCAGCCUUCAGGCAUAGGAAGAGGGCCUAGGUCCUAGUCCUGGAGAUCCAGCCCUUAUGCUGUGCCUGGUCUGAGGCACAGUGGGCAGAGAGCCAAGGAUGUACACCUGCCCUGUCAGAGCAUGCAGAGCACCUGCACAGAGCUGCCCGAGCACGUGUGAAAUGAAAUGUGCUGUGCAGACACAGUCAAGGAGGAAGCAAAGCGGGAAGACAGAAAGAGAGAAAGACAGAGGGAAAGAAGGAACAGAUAAAUGAAGAACCCAACCUAGACUCACAGUUAUAUAGGACAAUGUUCUUUGGAGGUGCAUGCUGAAGUCUUUAGGGGUGAAGUAUCAUGAUUCUAAUAACUUAUUCCUUAGCAAAAAAGCAUGUAAAUAAGUACUUAAUUGAAUGUUCAUAGUAGCAGGCUGAAACGUGAUAUUGCUGUUUUUGUAGGUUGAAAUUGUUGCAUAUUGACGAUGUGAUAUGGGUCAACUUAAAGCUCUUUUUCAAUUUCUCUCUCUGAAAAUGUUUGUAAUAUGAUGUUAGAAAAGAAAGAAUUCCACCUUGAAAAACGAAACCUCAAAGAACAUAAUGAAAUUUCCUCAUCAUUGUUUCCCACUCUAGAACAACUUAAUAAGAACCCCAUUUGAAGAGCUCAAAAAUUAGAAGAUUAAAAAAAAAAAAAAAGAAUCAGGAUGAGAUGAAAAAGGAGAUUGGAGACCUAUGGAAAGAAUUGAGAAUCAAAGCAGUAUUAUCAAGGAGCUAAUGAAUAAAUUAGGAACACUGAGGAAUAGAAUAUAUCCUGCAGAAAUUGGAAAAAAAAGUCAGAAAGGAUAGACUCUACCAUCCAGGAUGCAGCUGAAAGAGCGAGCUGGUUGGUAAAAUUGAGUAAAGGAAACCACGUGGCACUGAGGAAAACACGAUGACCACCUGAGCACAAGUAGUCCUCCUGAAGCCGGAAGGCUGACAGUCACACCGAAGAUGCCUAUUUCUGAACUGGAAAUGCAAUUUCAGCCCUAGGGCACCAGAGCAAUGCAAGCCACAAUUUACCACCACUAACCCCAGAAACUAAUGACUUAGUAAAACUAGUUGCUGAUUUUUAUUUUUAUAAUUACUCUCCCAAGUCGUGCAUAGCACAUUUAACCCCAUCCUCUGCCCGUGACAGCCCUGGACGGCAGUCGCCAGAAAUAAAUAAGCCAAUACAGGCUGUUUCUCUAAAACCACUUACCUGAUAGAAUUCAAUGCCACUGUUGUUGUUCUGAUGCAUGGGACAGCUUUAUCGUUUCAUGGUAGCCUCUCCUUUCCUGCCUCAGUGCGAGGGGACAGCACUCUGCUGUUGCCGAGUGACACCCAGUGUACUGGUGAAGAACCGGUGCCCUCCUAAUGUGCAGUCAGUGUGCCUUCGUCCCCUGCCGACAGGGACAGGAGACACGCACUGGUGGACUGGCCUGUCUGCCGUGACCGUGGAAGCACGCUCUAGAACAAAUGCUGAAAUUCGUAUCUGAAACUCCCCAUGAUUCAGAAUGACCCCCUCCUCUGUGUGGUUUAUCCUUGGCAUUUAUCAACUGUGACUCCAUCUUUAAGCUCUGGACAGCCCUGGGGCCCUGCGUGGAAGGCAGGUGACUCUUUUAGACUGCUUUCAUUCUGGGGUUUUGGGUCUCGUGGGCCUGGGUGUGGUGGGUGGCAAGCCUGGCCACAUCCUUUCACUCCCUCCCCCUCUCUAGGUGAGUGCUCCCUGGCCCAGAUGGGAGUCACUGAGGUCUUGCACCCAGAGUCACUCCUGGGCUGGCAGCGGCAGUUCCAGCAAGCUGUCUCUGAAUACCCGGCACAUGAUGUUUUCACUGAGGAGCCAGGCUUCGAUGCUGCUCUGGAGUGGAGAGCAAGAAGACCCUGAGCUCCCUGGAUCCUGAUAACGCAGAAGAGGCAAAGGGAAGAUUUGGAGGAGGAGAAUCUUAAAGUUUGAAAAUGAAAGCAGAAGCCACUGGAGAUCAAUGGCCAAGAGGUAGACCUAAAUGAGCGCUGUUGGAUGUAUUGCCACCACCAUUUUGCAAAUGAGGGGAAGGAGGUACAGAGAGGUGAGGGGACUGACACAGCCAGUGACUGACUGAAGCUGGUGCUCCCAGGGCAGUAGGAGAGCUGAGUGUGUUAUGCAGGGGAUGGGGCUCCCCAUCUAACAGCCUGCAGUGGUGAAUCCAUGCCUGGCCGAACUCAGAGUCUUCUUGCUCUCCAUUCUAAAGGUAAGGAGACAUGUGAAGGGGACCCUCAGGUACUUUGAAAUGUGCAGGACAUUCUCAUUGUCUCUUGCACCCUGCUGUGCAACAGAUGUCAGGGCUUCUUCCUCCUGUCUGUCUGAAACUCUGUGCCUUAUGACCAACUACGCAUGCGCUCCCUCUGCCACCCCCAGCCUCUCAUCACCAUCAAACUGCUCUGCUUCUAUGAGAUCAGCUUUGCAGACUCAACACGUAAGUGACAUCAUGCUGCAUUUGCCUUUCUGAGGCGAUGGACAUGUUAAUUAGCUUUCUGUCACAUUCCACAUAGUGCACACAUAUAAACUUCACAUUGUACUCCAUACAUGUCUGCAACUAUGACUUGUCUAUUAAAAAUGAUAAGAAUAAAACUUUAAUAAAUAAAAUGAGAUACAGGAAGUAUGGCGGGACUGCCCCACAUACUUGUGUCUCUGCUUCUACCGUCCUGGCAUUUGCUGCCACCACCUUGUUUGCUCGUUUGUGGCAGAUGUGUUGGGUGGGUAGGAAGCAGCGUAUUCUCAACAUGAAGUUCGCAAGUCUCCCAGUGAGCUUCUGCCAGAAGGAAAACUGAAAUUUCAGAAUAUUACCAGCACUAUUAUGCUAAUAGUCACACAAAUCAUAUUUCUUAAAAGUAUAAUUCCUUUCUUGAUUGUCCUCCUUCAUAUUUUUAUUUCUUUUCUUAAAGCUUCCAGAGAAUUAGAACUAUGGGUCCCUAGAAAUAAGGAUACUUCACAAAAUCAUUCAAAUGUAUUUGAAUCUCCCAUAUUUGCACUGUAAUCUCUGAUGCCAAAAAAACCCAAAGCUUUGCUGAAGGUGUGAGAGCCAGGGAUGGAUUUUAGGGACAGCAGCACUGGGUGACCAGUCACUGGGCUGUUAAGCACAAAGAAAAUCCCCACUGGGGAACAAAGAGGACCCGCUGGGGGCGGAGGGGCCCUCUUGUCUCCAGGCUCCAGGCCGCGCUGCAGCUCACUCUACUGGCUCGGAUGCCUCUGAAGGCCACGGUGGCUGCUUGCUGGCUCCCACCCCCAGCUGUCACCCGCAGCUGUGAGUGUGUUGCCUGCUCUCUGUGCUUCAGCUGUCCACGGCGUUGGCCACCACCACCUUGUUUGCCCAUUUGCAGUGGAUCUUUUGGGAUGACAGGAAGCAGCAAAUUUUCGGCAGAAGUUGACAAGUCUCCUGGUGAGCUUCUGCCAGCCCUGGCCGUCUUCACAGGGAAAGGUCUAGGUCUUCCCCUCUGGCCGCCCAGCCUGGAGAGAGUUGGCUUUCCUGGAUGUUUCCUGGGGACAGGUGUGUCCUCCUUGCUCUCUGCUAUGGCUGCUGGUGCUGUGGGUGGAGGGGGAGGCCAUGGGGCCAUGCUGGGGGGCUGUGCUGGGGUCGGGACUCCUCUGCAGGUUGUGGAGAGGACUGGCAGUCACUGUGGCUUUCUUGGUCUCCUGUGGCAUCUCCUGCCCAUUGAUCCAAACAUCUCUCAUAAUUUGAAGGAGCAUGGAUGGGCCUCUCCCUGGGGCCAACCGUCAGGAACUUUUUCAGAAAUGUUCUCAAUUUUCUUCUGAAAAGAAAAUAGGUGUCUCAAUCUUGUAUGUGUGACAUUGCUCUUAAGGGUCCCCCAGUUCUCUCCAUCAAGUGGAAGAGUCCUGGCUGUCAUGGCAUAGAGGACAACCCCCAGGCUCCACACAUCCACCUGUGGUGCCAUAUAGUCCUCGUUCAGGAACUUCUGGGGCACAAAAACAUGCAGUUCCACUGAAGGUGUCCAUCUUCUUCCCUUCACUAAAUGUUGUGGCAAAGCCAAAGUCAGCUAGUUUGAUGCUGUCAUUGUCAUCAAGUAUGAUGUUUUAGGGCUUCAGGUCCCUGUGGACAAUCUGGUCUCACAGCAAUAUUGCAUGGCAGCCGGGUCUGUUGGAAUUUGGCUGAGGCCUCCUGCUCCAGGUGGCCAUGUCUCAGUAUGCACUGGAGAAGGUCUCAAGCACUGGCAUAUUCUGUUAUUAAAUACAGGGUGUCUUCAGUCUCAAUGACAUCCACCACUCAGGAUAUUUGGAUGAUGAUAUUUGCAUGAUUCGGGUCCCUCAUGGCUUUGACCUACAUAUAGACACUUUGCAGGCCAUGGAGGAUCUGAUUGAACAUUGUUUUGAUGGCUAUCUUGGUCCCAGUAGAAAGGUGCCGGGCCAGCAUCACCUUGGUCAUCCUGCACCAGCCAUUCUUCUUCAGGAGCUUAUAGUUGUUAAUCACCUCAGUGAACAAAUUGGAGGCCAAGCUCUGCUUCUUGGUCACCUCUAUCUGUGCUAACUCUACACUAGCUAUGCUAAGUAACUGCUGAACAAUACCAGCUAUACUACCCAGGCUAGAAAUACUAAGAGUACUAGCUAUAUGAACCAGGCUAACAAUACCAAUAAUACUAACUAUGCUAACUAUACUAUGCUAACACUGCUGACAAUCUAACUGUACUAUGCUAGCCCUACUAGCAAACAAUACUGACUAUAGUACGCUAAUACUACUGACAAACAAUACUGACUGUGCUAAUUACACAAAAUAUGCUAACUAACAAGGAUGAAACAGUCUUGCUAUGGUCAAACUUCACAGAUCACCAGCAGCUUCCUGGGUGAUAAGGACUGGUUAUGGAAUUACUGAAGCCUACACUCAGGCUAAGUUUUAGUAAUUCUAUGACAAUGACCCCUUCUGAUGUCAGAGCAAGAAAUGGGAUACUCAGGGCUAGGAAUAACCCAGAGUGGUUUUUUUCCUUUUUUGGUUGUAAGAACAUUUUUCUCUUUAAAGAAAACAAGCAUUUUUUGUUCAUGUGGUUAUAGAGAUUGAUAUUUAAGUCUAUGGUGAUACCACACUGAAUGGGCUCAAUCUUUCAGAUCUCAGAAGUUGAGCAGGGUUGGGUAUGCUUAGUACUUGGAUGGGAGAUUGAUAUUUAGUUUAGUAGAAAUUUAAGUCUAUACAAUGCUUCAGGGACCUUUCCAUUUUUAGUAGGAGCUCACGGUGCAGGUUGAGAAAGAUUUCUCACACAGAGGUUAAGAUAUAUGUGUAAAAACAGUUAUUUUACCCUUUAGAGGG